rnacentral:rRNA from 1 species
AGAGUUUGAUUCUGGCUCAGAACGGACGCUGGCAGCGUGGAUUAGGCAUGCAAGUCGAACGUAAGCCACGGUGUAGCAAUAUAUCGUGGUGAAAGUGGCGAAAGGGCGAGGAACGCGUGGGCAAUCUACCUCUGGGAUGGGGAUAACCUGCCGAAAGGCGGGCUAAUACCGAAUAUGGUAACCUGACGCAUGUUGGGAUUAUCAAAGGCGGUGAUCUUUCGGGACCUGUCGCCUGGAGAGGAGCCCGCGUCCUAUCAGCUUGUUGGUGAGGUAACGGCUCACCAAGGCUUACGGGUAGCUGGUCUGAGAGGAUGGUCAGCCGCACUGGGACUGAGACACUGCCCAGACUCCUACGGGAGGCUGCAGUCGAGGAUCAUUUGCAAUGGGCGCAAGCCUGACAAUGCGACGCUGCGUGGAGGAUGAAGGCCUUCGGGUUGUAAACUCCUGUCAUUCGGGAACAAUAGCGGGAGGGCUAAUAUCCCUUCUGAAUGAUGGUACCGGAAGAGGAAGCACGGCUAACUCUGUGCCAGCAGCCGCGGUAAUACAGAGGUGGCAAGCGUUGUUCGGAUUUACUGGGCGUAAAGGGCGCGUAGGCGGUUGCGUAAGUCGGACGUGAAAUCCCACGGCCUAACCGUGGAACGGCAUCCGAAGCUGUGCAACUAGAGUGCAGGAUGGGAGAGCGGAAUUCUUGGUGUAGUGGUGAAAUACGUUGAUAUCAAGGGGAACACCGGUGGCGAAGGCGGCUCUCUGGAGUGCAACUGACGCUGAGGCGCGAAAGCUGGGGGAGCAAACAGGAUUAGAUACCCUGGUAGUCCCAGCCUUAAACGGUGUACACUUGGUGUGGGGAGUAUUGACCCUCCCCGUGCCGGAGCUAACGCGUUAAGUGUACCGCCUGGGGAGUACGGCCGCAAGGCUAAAACUCAAAGAAAUUGACGGGGGCCCGCACAAGCGGAGGAGCAUGUGGCUCAAUUCGAUGCAACGCGAAGAACCUUACCAAGGCUUGACAUGUAGCUGCAAGUCCGGCGAAAGCCGGAUGCCUUCGAGGGUGCUACACAGGUGCUGCAUGGCUGUCGUCAGUUCGUGCCGUGAGGUGUUGGGUUAAGUCCCGCAACGAACGCAACCCCUGUGUCUAGUUGCCACUCCUGAUGAUGAGUCGGGAAGCACUCUAGACAGACCGCCUGUACAAGCAGGAGGAAGGUGGGGAUGACGUCAAGUCAGUAUGGCCCUUACGCCUUGGGCUGCACACGUGCUACAAUGGCCGGCACAGAGGGACGCUAGACCGCGAGGUGGAGCAAAUCCCCAAAACCGGCCUCAGUUCGGAUUGAAGGCUGCAACUCGCCUUCAUGAAGCUGGAUUCGCUAGUAACGGCGCAUCAGCUACGGCGCCGUGAAUACGUUCCCGGGCCUUGCACACACCGCCCGUCACAUCAUGAAAGCCGUCUGCACCCGAAGUCGCUGUUCCAACCCGCAAGGGAGGUAAGCGCCGAAGGUGUGGGUGGUGAUUGGGAUGAAGUCGUAACAAGGUA